rnacentral:rRNA from 1 species
UGAGUAACCUGCCCUUGACUCUGGGAUAAGCCUGGGAAACCGGGUCUAAUACCGGAUACGACCACCGGCCGCAUGGCCUGGUGGUGGAAAGCCUUUGUGCGGUUUUGGAUGGACUCGCGGCCUAUCAGCUUGUUGGUGAGGUAAUGGCUCACCAAGGCGACGACGGGUANCUGGUCUGAGAGGAUCGGCCACGCCCAACUAGUUCGGGACUGAACGAAACCGGCCAGACCUCCGUACGGGAGGCGAG